UUCUACUGCUUAACUUCUGCCUGGUUUGUACUGGGAUGGGAGANCACUAAGAAAUCCCAGAGCUGUAGACC
rnacentral:rRNA from 1 species